GGCGUGGAGGCUACACAUGCAGUCGAGCGCUGUAGCAAUACAGAGCGGCGCACGGGUGAGUAACACGUGGGAACGUGCCCUUUGGUUCGGAAUAACUCAGGGAAACUUGAGCUAAUACCGGAUGAGCCCUAACGGGGAAAGAUUUAUCGCCGAAGGAGCGGCCCGCGUUGGAUUAGCUAGUUGGUGGGGUAAAAGCCUACCAAGGCAACGAUCCAUAGCUGGUUUGAGAGAACGACCAGCCACACUGGGACUGAGACACGGCCCAGACUCCUACGGGAGGCAGCAGUGGGGAAUCUUGGACAAUGGGGGAAACCCUGAUCCAGCCAUGCCGCGUGAGUGAUGAAGGCCCUAGGGUUGUAAAACUCUUUCGGCGGGGACGAUAAUGACGGUACCCGCAGAAGAAGCUCCGGCUAACUUCGUGCCAGCAGCCGCGGUAAUACGAAGGGAGCUAGCGUUGUUCGGAAUCACUGGGCGUAAAGCGCACGUAGGCGGAUGUGUCAGUCAGGGGUGAAAUCCCGGAGCUCAACUUCGGAACUGCCUCUGAUACAGCACGUCUUGAGUCCGAUAGAGGUGGGUGGAAUUCCUAGUGUAGAGGUGAAAUUCGUAGAUAUUAGGAAGAACACCGGUGGCGAAGGCGGCCCACUGGAUCGGUACUGACGCUGAGGUGCGAAAGCGUGNGGAGCAAACAGGAUUAGAUACCCUGGUAGUCCACGCUGUAAACGAUGGAUGCUAGCCGUCAGCAAGCAUGCUUGUUGGUGGCGCAGCUAACGCAUUAAGCAUCCCGCCUGGGGAGUACGGCCGCAAGGUUAAAACUCAAUGAAAUUGACGGAA
rnacentral:rRNA from 1 species